ensembl:lncRNA
GGGGAAACAAACAGCUUCACAACAGCAAUUGGAGGAGAUAGACAUCAAAGACAAUGUUAAAUCAGGAACAUACUGCAUACUCCAAUCAGCCGUUCUGUAUCUAAGGUUUAAAUAAAAACAGGGUUUGUGGGGGGAUUUCCGGCAUGUUAUGGUCCCUUUUUUUAAACAUAAAAGCUAAAAUGUCUAAAAUUGUUCAUACAAAUGAUUAUCUGAGUAGAUGGCCCGUUAAUUCUCAUGGAAAUUGCUCUUACCCUCCUGAUUGGAGGGUAAGAGGAAUUUCAGACAACAAAAACAGAUUCAUGUACGCCCACAACACAUCGAGACGUGUGCACACGUAGCCAUUUUCUCAUGGAAACAUUCUUUUCUUGCCCUUCAAAGAAGACACACAGGGAGGAUUAAUUUCUAACUAGUCACGAUGCCAGAGAACGACAGACCUCAAUACACUUGGAUGUCUCUUUUAUUAUGGUGUAUCUAUGGGAUUUUCUUCAUCCUGUUUAUUGUUCAAGGGGUAGUUGGAUGCGUGUACAUUAAUGACUGUCCAGGCCAGCCCUCCAUUCCUAUAUUAAUGGCUACUUCUGGAUUAAUUUCUUUCUUCUGGGCAUUGAGCUGGUGUAAGAAUGGAUGCAGAGUUUUCUGCUACUGUAUCAUUGCCACUCUGUAUUUAAUCUGGUUGACCUACGGUGCUACAGCCAUCUACGUUUUCUACUCCUUCAACAUUUCCAAAUCCCAUUUCGACUGCAACAAGACAUUCUGCCUGUUUGCAUUUUGGUGCAGCAACGUGACCUACAUCCUGACAGGCAUUUAUAUUUGCUGUUUUAUUUCUGCUUGCUGCAAUGAACGGAUGGAGCCUUUCGUGCUUUACAAUGAUGAGAAUCAGCCACUGCUGUGAAGCUAAUCAUAUGAAUGUAUGUAUGUUUGUGUGUUUCCCACCUCCUCUUAGACAAGUUGAACAGUACGGAUAAAACAGAUUAGAAUGGUGUCACAAUAAAAUAUAUCAUAUCAAAUAUAUCACACUGUAAUGAACAUAUACUUCUACUACUAAUAAUAAUAAUAAUGACGCUGAUUGAAAUAAAAUCAUAAGCAAAAGGGAACA